rnacentral:rRNA from 1 species
GAUGAACGCUGGCGGCGUGCCUAAUACAUGCAAGUCGAGCGAACGGACGAGAAGCUUGCUUCUCUGCUGUUAGCGGCGGACGGGUGAGUAACACGUGGAUAACCUACCUAUAAGACUGGGAUAACUUCGGGAAACCGGAGCUAAUACCGGAUCAUAUUUUGAACCGCAUGGUUCAAAAGUGAAAGACGCUCUUGCUGUCACUUAUAGCUGGAUCCGCGCUGCAUUAGCUAGUUGGUAAGGUAACGGCUUACCAAGGCAACGAUGCAUAGCCGACCUGAGAGGGUGAUCGGCCACACUGGAACUGAGACACGGUCCAGACUCCUACGGGAGGCAGCAGUAGGGAAUCUUCCGCAAUGGGCGAAAGCCUGACGGAGCAACGCCGCGUGAGUGAUGAAGGUCUUCGGAUCGUAAAACUCUGUUAUUAGGGAAGAACAUAUGUGUAAGUAACUGUGCACAUCUUGACGGUACCUAAUCAGAAAGCCACGGCUAACUACGUG